UACGUAGGGGGCAAGCGUUGUCCGGAAUUACUGGGUGUAAAGGGCGUGUAGGCGACCCCUUAAGUUGAAUGUGAAAUCUCCCGGCUCAACUGGGAGGAGUCAUUCAAUACUGAGGGGAUAUGAGGACAGAAGAGGGAAGUGGAAUUCCCGGUGUAGCGGUAAAAUGCGUAGAUAUCGGGAGGAACACCAGUGGCGAAGGCGGCUUCCUGGUCUGUCCCUGACGCUGAUGCGCGAAAGCCAGGGGAGCAAACGGGAUUAGAUACCCCCGUAGUCC
rnacentral:rRNA from 1 species